GAUGAACGCUGGCGGCGUGCCUAAUACAUGCAAGUCGAGCGAACAGACGAGGAGCUUGCUCCUCUGACGUUAGCGGCGGACGGGUGAGUAACACGUGGAUAACCUACCUAUAAGACUGGGAUAACUUCGGGAAACCGGAGCUAAUACCGGAUAAUAUAUUGAACCGCAUGGUUCAAUAGUGAAAGACGGUUUUGCUGUCACUUAUAGAUGGAUCCGCGCCGCAUUAGCUAGUUGGUAAGGUAACGGCUUACCAAGGCAACGAUGCGUAGCCGACCUGAGAGGGUGAUCGGCCACACUGGAACUGAGACACGGUCCAGACUCCUACGGGAGGCAGCAGGAGGGAAUCUUCCGCAAUGGGCGAAAGCCUGACGGAGCAACGCCGCGUGAGUGAUGAAGGUCUUCGGAUCGUAAAACGCUGUUAUUAGGGAAGAACAAAUGUGUAAGUAACGAUGCACGUCUUGACGGUACCUAAUCAGAAAGCCACGGCUAACUACGU
rnacentral:rRNA from 1 species